CAGCAGUGGGGAAUCUUAGACAAUGGGCGCAAGCCUGAUCUAGCCAUGCCGCGUGAGUGAUGAAGGCCUUAGGGUCGUAAAGCUCUUUCGCCAGGGAUGAUAAUGACAGUACCUGGUAAAGAAACCCCGGCUAACUCCGUGCCAGCAGCCGCGGUAAUACGGAGGGGGUUAGCGUUGUUCGGAAUUACUGGGCGUAAAGCGUACGUAGGCGGAUCAGAAAGUUAGGGGUGAAAUCCCGAGGCUCAACCUCGGAACUGCCUCUAAAACUCCUGGUCUUGAGUUCGAGAGAGGUGAGUGGAAUUCCAAGUGUAGAGGUGAAAUUCGUAGAUAUUUGGAGGAACACCAGUGGCGAAGGCGGCUCACUGGCUCGAUACUGACGCUGAGGUACGAAAGUGUGGGGAGCAAACAGGAUUAGAUACCCUGGUAGUCCACACCGUAAACGAUGAAUGCCAGUCGUCGGGUAGCAUGCUAUUCGGUGACACACCUAACGGAUUAAGCAUCCGC
rnacentral:rRNA from 1 species